rnacentral:lncRNA from 1 species
UCCCUCCUCAUGUCAUUAAACUUGCAUUCCACAUACUCUGUCUUGCUUCUGCUCACCCUGGACCCUUUACACUCAAGGGUUUGCCUCCACACCUCUAAUUUGUCGCUCACACCGUCUCGGGUCUCAGCUAUCAGAACUACAUCGUCUGCAAAAAGCAUACACCACGGCACCUCCCCUUGAAUACGCCGCGUCAACAUAUCCAUUACC